CACGUAGUUAGCCGUGGCUUUCUGGUUAGGUACCGUCAAGGUGCCGCCCUAUUCGAACGGUACUUGUUCUUCCCUAACAACAGAGUUUUACGAUCCGAAAACCUUCAUCACUCACGCGGCGUUGCUCCGUCAGACUUUCGUCCAUUGCGGAAGAUUCCCCA
rnacentral:rRNA from 1 species